UACGUAGGGGGCUAGCGUUGUCCGGAAUCAUUGGGCGUAAAGCGCGUGUAGGCGGCUUUUUAAGUCAGGGGUGAAAUCCUGGAGCUCAACUCCAGAACUGCCUUUGAUACUGAGAAGCUUGAGUCCGGGAGAGGUGAGUGGAACUGCGAGUGUAGAGGUGAAAUUCGUAGAUAUUCGCAAGAACACCAGUGGCGAAGGCGGCUCACUGGCUCGGUACUGACGCUGAGGCGCGAAAGCGUGGGGAGCAAACAGG
rnacentral:rRNA from 1 species